UACGUAGGGUGCAAGCGUUGUCCGGAAUUAUUGGGCGUAAAGAGCUUGUAGGCGGUUUGUCGCGUCUGCCGUGAAAGUCCGGGGCUCAACUCCGGAUCUGCGGUGGGUACGGGCAGACUAGAGUGAUGUAGGGGAGACUGGAAUUCCUGGUGUAGCGGUGAAAUGCGCAGAUAUCAGGAGGAACACCAAUGGCGAAGGCAGCACUCUGGGACGUGACUGACGCUGAGACGCGAAAGCGUGGGGAGCAAACAGG
rnacentral:rRNA from 1 species